UACGUAGGUGGCGAGCGUUAUCCGGAAUUACUGGGCGUAAAGAGCUCGUAGGUGGUUUGUCACGUCGUCUGUGAAAUUCCGGGGCUUAACCUCGGGCGUGCAGGCGAUACGGGCAAUACUUGAGUGCUGUAGGGGAGACUGGAAUUCCUGGUGUAGCGGUGAAAUGCGCAGAUAUCAGGAGGAACACCAAUGGCGAAGGCAGGUCUCUGGGCAGUUACUGACGCUGAGGAGCGAAAGCAUGGGUAGCGAACAGGAUUAGAUA
rnacentral:rRNA from 1 species